AGGAAUGGAAACGAUGGAUUUAUGG
rnacentral:piRNA from 1 species